rnacentral:rRNA from 1 species
UACGUAGGGUGCAAGCGUUGUCCGGAAUUAUUGGGCGUAAAGAGCUCGUAGGCGGUCUGUCGCGUCUGCUGUGAAAACUCAGGGCUUAACCCUGAGCUUGCAGUGGGUACGGGCAGACUAGAGUGGCGGUAGGGGAGACUGGAAUUCCUGGUGUAGCGGUGAAAUGCGCAGAUAUCAGGAGGAACACCGGUGGCGAAGGCGGGUCUCUGGGCCGUAACUGACGCUGGAGGA